UCGAGAAUCUUUCGCAAUGGGGGAAACCCUGACGAAGCGACGCCGCGUGCAGGAUGAAGGUCUUCGGAUUGUAAACUGCUGUCGGCUGGGAAGAAAAAGUUGAUGGUGAAUAAUCAUCAACCCUGACGGUACCAGCAAAGGAAGCCACGGCUAACUCUGUGCCAGCAGCCGCGGUAAUACAGAGGUGGCUAGCGUUGUUCGGAUUUAUUGGGCGUAAAGGGUCCGUAGGUGGCAUGAAAAGUCGGAUGUGAAAGCCCACAGCUCAACUGUGGAAUGGCAUUCGAAACUUUCAAGCUCGAGUGUGAAAGGGGUAAAGGGAAUUCCCGGUGUAAGGGUGAAAUCUGUAGAGAUCGGGAAGAACACCAGUCGCGAAGGCGCUUUACUGGUUCACAACUGACACUGAGGGACGAAAGCUAGGGGAGCAAACG
rnacentral:rRNA from 1 species